rnacentral:rRNA from 1 species
UAGGUGGACACCCGCGAGGAUCAU